CGUAAUGUAACCUACCUUUAUCAGGGGGAUAGCCUCUCGAAAGAGAGAUUAAGCCCGCAUAAUAUGAAGACACAGCAUUGUGAUUUCAUCAAAUAUUUAUAGGAUAAAGAUGGGCAUGCGGAACAUUAGCUAGUUGGUAAGGUAAUGGCUUACCAAGGCUACGAUGUUUAGGGGAUCUGAGAGGAUGACCCCCCACACUGGUACUGAGACACGGACCAG
rnacentral:rRNA from 1 species